GCCGUUGAAGCUCUGACCGAAAGGCGUGAUGAGC
rnacentral:misc_RNA from 2 species